rnacentral:rRNA from 1 species
CCUACGGGAGGCAGCAGUGGGGGAUAUUGCACAAUGGGGGAAACCCUGAUGCAGCGACGCCGCGUGAGUGAAGAAGGAUUUCGGUAUGUAAAGCCCUAUCAGCAGGGACGAAAAUGACAGUACCUGACCAAGAAGCCCCGGCUAAUUACGUGCCAGCAGCCGCGGUAAUACGUAGGUGGCAAGCGUUAUCCGGAUUUACGGGUUGUAAAGGGAGCGUAGACGGUUAUGGAUGUCUGGAUCGAAAGCCCGGGGCCCAACCCCGGGACUGCGUGGGAAACUGUAUAACUGGAGUACAGGAGGGGCAGGCGGAAUUCCUGGUGUAGCGGUGAAAUGCGUAGAUAUCAGGAGGAACACCGGCGGCGAAGGCGGGCUGCUGGACUGAAACUGACGUUGAGGCGCGAAAGCGUGGGGAGCAAACAGGAUUAGAUACCCGAGUAGUC